rnacentral:tRNA from 1 species
GGGGCCAUAGCUCAGCUGGGAGAGCACCUGCCUUGCACGCAGGGGGUCAGGGGUUCAAUCCCCCUUGGCUCCACCA